rnacentral:rRNA from 1 species
AUGGUCGUGUGCGACUUCAACCUGAACCUCACCUUCAUUUCUUGUGGCUGGGAGGGAUGUGCUACUGAUGCUAAAGUUCUUCGGUCAACACUUAACAUCGGGUUUCAUGUACCUCCGGGCAAGUUUUAUCUGGUUGAUGGUGGUUAUGCCAACACACCUUACUUCUUGGCACCGUAUCGUGGUGUUCGGUACCAUCUGAAGGAGUUUGCAUGCGGUCGUCGUCGACCCCAACAUCAUAGGGAGCUAUUCAAUCUUUGGCAUGUCGUGUUACGAAAUCACGUCGAACGGGGAUUAUGA